AUGUCUUUGUCUUCUGUCAAGGGAAGGCCGACCAGGCCGGGCCGACAGAGGAGGGUGGACUUGAUCAAGAAGUCGCUCUCGUGGUCCAAGGCGGCGCCGAUCACAGAGACGGCCAUCCGCGCUGCCGUUGGCGACAAUGUUGUAACUAGAAAGGCUGUGCGCUGGUUGCUGAAGGAGAAGAGAGGGUUGCGUCGUGCGGGCACUGGUGGCCGCUCGGAUCCGUAUGUGUACAUGGUACAUGAAAUCCAUGCCACACAGUUUGCGUUUGGAUGA
rnacentral:rRNA from 1 species